GUUCGCUAUUGGUCACACUUUCGCCGUGUCUCGCGUUUUCUGUGUCUUAGUAUCAUAAAGUCAACCAAAAUAGCUGAUUAUCUGUAUAGUUAGCAUCAAAUUAUAGUCAAGACUUCCAAUUAUAAUUAAAUAAAUAAUUCAUAAAAAAUAUGGCGCUAAAUCCACAGUACGAAGAUAUUGGUAAAGGCUUCGUUCAGCAAUAUUAUGCCAUAUUUGACGACCCGGCGAACCGCGCUAAUGUGGUAAACUUUUACAGCGCAACGGAGUCCUUUAUGACUUUCGAAGGACACCAAAUCCAAGGAGCUCCAAAAAUACUUGAAAAAGUCCAGAGCCUCACUUUCCAAAAGAUCACACGAGUAAUUACAACGGUAGACUCGCAGCCCACAUUUGAUGGUGGCGUUUUGAUAAAUGUCCUAGGACGACUACAGACCGAUGAGGAUCAGCCGCAUGCGUAUAUUCAGACCUUUGUACUGAAACCUGUGGGCGUUAGCUUCUUUGUGCAGCACGACAUCUUUAGGCUUGCGCUGCACAAUGUGUAGCCAAUCGCAAUCAGCUCGACCGAAUGCAACAGCUACGGCAAACAACAACAGCAACAACAACAAUCAAAAUCACACUCUGAGAGCGAUCCUGGCCAGGCAAAUGCGACGACGAUCCUCCACACGCUUUCUCUCAGGUGUUUGUGUUG